rnacentral:misc_RNA from 1 species
GAUGAAGAACGCAGCGAAAUGCGAUAAGUAGUGUGAAUUGCAGAAUUCAGUGAAUCAUCGAAUCUUUGAACGCACAUUGCGCCCGCCAGUAUUCUGGCGGGCAUGCCUGUUCGAGCGUCAUUACAACCCUCAGGCCCCCGGGCCUGGCGUUGGGGAUCGGCGGAGCGCCCCCUGCGGGCACACGCCGUCCCCCAAAUACAGUGGCGGUCCCGCCGCAGCUUCCAUUGCGUAGUAGCUAACACCUCGCAACUGGAGAGCGGCGCGGCCACGCCGUAAAACACCCAACUUCUGAAUGUUGACCUCGAAUCAGGUAGGAAUACCCGCUGAACUUAAGCAUAUCAAUAAGCGGAGGA